rnacentral:antisense_RNA from 3 species
CUUCAGGGAGCCCAGCCACAGCGGGUUGCCCGGCUCGCGCUCCUGCCCGUAGGUGGCCAGCAGCGCCUGCGCCUC